rnacentral:rRNA from 1 species
GACGAACGCUGGCGGCGUGCUUAACACAUGCAAGUCGAACGGAAAGGCCCGGCCUUGGUGGGGUGCUCGAGUUGCGAACGGGUGAGUAACACGUGAGUAACCUGCCCCUGACCUUGGGAUAACUUCAGGAAACUGGGGCUCAUACCGGCUAGGAGCUCCUGCUGCAUGGUGGGGGUGGGUAAGUUUCGGCGGUUGGGGAUGGACUCGCGUCUUAUCAGCUUGUUGGUGGGGUAGUGGCUUACCAAGGCCUUGACCGGUAGCCGGCCUGAGAGGGUGACCGGCCACAUUGGGCCGGAGAUACGGCCCAGACUCCUACGGGAGGCAGCAGUGGGGAAUAGUGCAUAAUGGGCGGAAGCCUGAUGCAGCAACGCAGCGUGCGGGAUGACGGCCUUCGGGUUGUGAACCGCUUUCGCCUGUGACGAAGCGUGAGUGACGGUAAUGGGUAAAGAAGCACCGGCUAACUACGUG